GACGAACGCUGGCGGCGUGCUUAACACAUGCAAGUCGAACGGAAAGGCCCUGCUUUUGUGGGGUGCUCGAGUGGCGAACGGGUGAGUAACACGUGAGUAGCCUGCCCUUGACUUUGGGAUAACUUCAGGAAACUGGGGCUAAUACCGGAUAGGAGCUCCUGCUGCAUGGUGGGGGUUGGAAAGUUUCGGCGGUUGGGGAUGGACUCGCGGCUUAUCAGCUUGUUGGUGGGGUAGUGGCUUACCAAGGCUUUGACGGGUAGCCGGCCUGAGAGGGUGACCGGCCACAAUGGGACUGAGAUACGGCCCAGACUCCUACGGGAGGCAGCAGGGGGGAAUAUUGCACAAUGGGCGGAAGCCUGAUGCAGCAACGCCGCGUGCGGGAUGACGGCCUUCGGGUUGUAAACCGCUUUCGCCUGUGACGAAGCGUGAGUGACGGUAAUGGGUAAAGAAGCACCGGCUAACUACGUG
rnacentral:rRNA from 1 species